rnacentral:lncRNA from 1 species
GGACGACGGUCACUCUGGAGUGAGUCUUCCUGUUGGAUGACGGUCACUCUAGAAUGAGUCUUCCUGUUGGACAACGGUCACUCUAGAAUGAGUCUUCCCUUUGGAUAAUGGUCACUCUGGAGUGAGACAUCCUGGGUGAGGUUCACUGUCUUCUGGUUUCCAUUUCUUCCUCCUUCCUGAUUUUCAUCUUCAUUUUGCUGCAGAACUUCCUUAGCAGGUGAGAGAGAACUUCCUUUCCAAGUGCAAAGAAGGUAGAUGUUCUGAAAACUUGCAUGUCAGAAAAUUUCCUUCGUUUGGCUUGCUAUGGAAUUUUGGCUACAGAGAUUUUUCCAUAUGUGAAGACAUUCCUCUAUUGGCCUAUAUCAUUGUGUUGCUGGUGAAAAAUCUCCCAAUCUAUUUCUCAUCCCUUUUUAGUUGAGCUAAUCAUGAUGACCUAACUUUAUCUUUUCUCUUGGCACUUCCAAUAUCUUUGCUCCAUCCUUAAUAUUCCAAAAUUUCACAAGAUUGUGUCUAGAUGUAGGUUGUAUGGGGGUGUUCUCAAUUUGGAGACUUAGUUAUUUCUGUUCAAUUGUUUUUUUCUUCACAACAUUUUCUAUGUUCUCUCUUCUAGACACUCCUAAUAGUUAGAUACUGAUUGUCUAUGUCUUUUCUCCUCCCUCUCUUUAUAUUUCUUAUUUCCUUUUGCUCCACAUCUGAGAAGAUUCCCUCAAUUUUAUCUUAGAAUCUGUCUACUAAAUAUUUUUGGCAGCCUUAUUUCAGUUUGAGGGUUCUUAUUUUCAAGGUUUUUCUUUUGUAGCAUCCUGUUUUUAACCUUACAGAUGCACCUCACAUCUCUCCAAAGAUACAGAUAUCUUAAGUCAUUUUUCCCAUGUUAACUCUGUUUCCCCCAGAAUUUGUUAAGUCUCUUUGGGGUUAUGUGUCCAGAUCAGCUUAUAUUCUGCCUGCAAGGAGCUGUACUCUUUCAUUAUUGUGUCUUCCACUUUCUCUCUUCCAGGAAUGUGUUGAGAUCUUCUUCACUUACAACCAAAUUCCUUCAGUUUUCUUUGCUGAGAUGAGUCAAUUCUCUUUUAUGUUUCUUGACUUCAGUUUCAGUGGGGCCUGGGGAAGGAGGGAAGUAAACUUACAUGUUCAGUUCAUCAUCUUAAAUUCAAAAUCCCGCCGGAAGCUUUUAGACAGGGCAGUGACAUGGACAACUUGA